UAAGUAAAUCCUUUAAGACUUAGAGCGUUGCUUCUGGGUACCUGCAGAUGGGUUCAAGGCCUGUAGUGUAUGCUGUUGCUUGCUUGAAAUGGGAAUUUUUGUCCAUGCAGAUCGAUCCUCCAGGCGGUUUUUAUAUGCCAGAUAGUAGAAGAGUUCUGUAGCUAGGAUGGGCUCGUUUGAAUGUUCUCAAUGUUAUUUUCGCGAGGCAAUUUUUUUUGCCACCAGGAGGAAUGUCGGAAUGUAGGACAGUUGAAUAUAUCCCAUAUGUAGAACAAGAGAAAUUUUACUGUCUUUGUGGAUACCUAGAGAGAUCAUUUUUUUUUUAUUUUGGUUUCUCUUAAUAGCCGAGGUAUUGUGGAUACCUAGAGAGAUCAAUUUUUUAAUGUAGAUUUUGGUAUCUCUUAAUAGCCGAGGUAUUAAGAGAAGAGGUAUACCAAGUUUCUUAAUAAAAAAAGGAUACCUCACUGU
rnacentral:sRNA from 1 species